ACGAACGCUGGCGGCACGCUUAACACAUGCAAGUCGAACGAGAGAAGAGAAGCUUGCUUUUCUGAUCUAGUGGCGGACGGGUGAGUAACACGUGAGCAAUCUGCCUUUCAGAGGGGGAUACCGAUUGGAAACGAUCGUUAAUACCGCAUAAUAUAAUUGAACCGCAUGAUUUGAUUAUCAAAGAUUUAUCGCUGAAAGAUGAGCUCGCGUCUGAUUAGCUAGUUGGUAAGGUAACGGCUUACCAAGGCGACGAUCAGUAGCCGGACUGAGAGGUUGAUCGGCCACAUUGGGACUGAGACACGGUCCAGACUCCUACGGGAGGCAGCAGUGGGGAAUAUUGCACAAUGGAGGAAACUCUGAUGCAGCGAUGCCGCGUGAGGGAAGAAGGUUUUAGGAUUGUAAACCUCUGUCUUCAGGGACGAAAAAUGACGGUACCUGAGGAGGAAGCUCCGGCUAACUACGUGCCAGCAGCCGCGGUAAUACGUAGGGAGCGAGCGUUGUCCGGAAUUACUGGGUGUAAAGGGAGCGUAGGCGGGAUCGCAAGUCAGAUGUGAAAACUAUGGGCUUAACCCAUAAACUGCAUUUGAAACUGUGGUUCUUGAGUGAAGUAGAGGUAAGCGGAAUUCCUAGUGUAGCGGUGAAAUGCGUAGAUAUUAGGAGGAACAUCAGUGGCGAAGGCGGCUUACUGGGCUUUAACUGACGCUGAGGCUCGAAAGCGUGGGGAGCAAACAGGAUUAGAUACCCUGGUAGUCCACGCCGUAAACGAUGAUUACUAGGUGUAGGGGGACUGACCCCUUCCGUGCCGCAGCAAACGCAAUAAGUAAUCCACCUGGGGAGUACGACCGCAAGGUUGAAACUCAAAGGAAUUGACGGGGGCCCGCACAAGCAGUGGAGUAUGUGGAUUAAUUCGAAGCAACGCGAAGAACCUUACCAGGUCUUGACAUCGUAUGCAUAGCUCAGAGAUGAGUGAAAUCUCUUCGGAGACAUAUAGACAGGUGGUGCAUGGUUGUCGUCAGCUCGUGUCGUGAGAUGUUGGGUUAAGUCCCGCAACGAGCGCAACCCUUACUGUUAGUUGCUACGCAAGAGCACUCUAGCAGGACUGCCGUUGACAAAACGGAGGAAGGUGGGGAUGACGUCAAAUCAUCAUGCCCCUUAUGACCUGGGCCUCACACGUACUACAAUGGCUGUCAACAGAGGGAAGCAAAGCCGCGAGGUGGAGCAAACCCCUAAAAGCAGUCUUAGUUCGGAUUGUAGGCUGCAACCCGCCUACAUGAAGUCGGAAUUGCUAGUAAUCGCAGAUCAGCAUGCUGCGGUGAAUACGUUCCCGGGCCUUGUACACACCGCCCGUCACGCCAUGGGAGUCGGUAACACCCGAAGCCUGUAGUCUAACCGCAAGGAGGACGCAGUCGAAGGUGGGAUUGAUGACUGGGGUG
rnacentral:rRNA from 1 species